rnacentral:rRNA from 1 species
GGUUGAUCCUGCCAGUUACAUAUGCUUGUCUUAAAUAUUAACCCAUGCAUGUGCCAGUUCAGUAUUGAACAGCGAAACUGCGAAUGGCUCAUUAAAACAGUUAUAGUUUAUUUGAUAAUUAAAGAUUACAUGGAUAACCGAGCUAAUUGUUGGGCUAAUACAUGCUUAAAAUUCCGUGUCCUGCGACCGGAACGUAUUUAUUAGAUAUUAGACCAAUCGCAGCAAUGUGAUUGAGAUGAUUCAAAGUAACUGAUCGAAUCGUAGCUUGCUACGAUAAAUCAUCUAAGUUU